GAUGAACGCUGGCGGCGUGCCUAAUACAUGCAAGUCGAGCGAACGGACGAGAAGCUUGCUUCUCUGAUGUUAGCGGCGGACGGGUGAGUAACACGUGGAUAACCUACCUAUAAGACUGGGAUAACUUCGGGAAACCGGAGCUAAUACCGGAUGAUAUUUUGAACCGCAUGGUUCAAAAGUGAAAGACGGUCUUGCUGUCACUUAUAGAUGGAUCCGCGCUGCAUUAGCUAGUUGGUAAGGUAACGGCUUACCAAGGCAACGAUGCAUAGCCGACCUGAGAGGGGGAUCGCCCAAACUGGAACUGAGACACGGCCCAGCCUCCGGCGGGAGGAAGAAGUGGGGAAUCUUCCGAAAUGGGGGAAGGCUUGAGGGAGAAGCGCCGGGUGAGGGAGGAGGUUUUUCGGAUCGUAAAACUGUUUUUUGAGGAAAAAACAUAUGUGUAAGUAACUUUGCACUUCUUGACGGUACCUAAUAAAAAAGCCCCGGCAACCUACGGC
rnacentral:rRNA from 1 species